ACCAGUAUAGCAUAAUGGUUUGUGUGUUGGACUAGGACUCUGAAGACCAAGGUUCAAAUUCCUGCUCAGCCA